rnacentral:rRNA from 1 species
UGCAGUCGGACGGUAGCACAGAGAGCUUGCUCUCGGGUGACGAGUGGCGGACGGGUGAGUAAUGUCUGGGGAUCUGCCCGAUAGAGGGGGAUAACCACUGGAAACGGUGGCUAAUACCGCAUAACGUCGCAAGACCAAAGAGGGGGACCUUCGGGCCUCUCACUAUCGGAUGAACCCAGAUGGGAUUAGCUAGUAGGCGGGGUAAUGGCCCACCUAGGCGACGAUCCCUAGCUGGUCUGAGAGGAUGACCAGCCACACUGGAACUGAGACACGGUCCAGACUCC